AAAAUAUACCUUUUUUCUACUAACGAUAUUGAGGUAUUUAUGAGGUAUAAAAAAAUAUACCUUAUUUCAACUAAAGAGAGUGAGGUAUUUAUUGAGGUGUUGAAGUCAUUUUAUUUAUACCUAAGCUUGUUUUAAGGUUGCUUAAAGUACACUUCAUAUUAACUAACUCACUUCCCAGAGUUCCAUGCGAGCCGGCAAAUGGCGUGUGUGUUGACAAUCGAAAGUCUAUUCGAAAUUCGAGCUUAUCCACAGUUCCCUGAUAUUACUGAGAUGGCCUAGGCUGUAAAUAGCACAUGCGCGGCGGCGCAGAAGAAGAGACAAGCAAGCUACUGCUCAGCCUUCCCCUAGGAUAUAGUUCUGAAUUUAUACCUAAAAGAAAAAGUUCCAAUAAUUACAAGUUUCAACAUGUAGACGGAAACAGUAUUUAAAAUAAUUUUGUUGGUUUGUAAAAAAAGUGAAAUUUUAGUUUUAAAUAAAAGUACUUUGAAUUUCA
rnacentral:lncRNA from 1 species